GACGAACGCUGGCGGCGUGCUUAACACAUGCAAGUCGAACGGAAAGGCCCCUUUGGGGGUACUCGAGUGGCGAACGGGUGAGUAACACGUGAGUAACCUGCCCUUGACUUCGGGAUAACUUCAGGAAACUGGGGCUAAUACCGGAUAGGAAUCCUUGCUGCAUGGUGGGGGUUGGAAAGCUUCGGCGGUUUUGGAUCGACUCGCGGCUUAUCAGCUUGUUGGUGGGGUAGUGGCUUACCAAGGCUUUGACGGGUAGCCGGCCUGAGAGGGCGACCGGCCACAUUGGGACUGAGAUACGGCCCAGACUCCUACGGGAGGCAGCAGUGGGGAAUAUUGCACAAUGGGCGGAAGCCUGAUGCAGCAACGCCGCGUGCGGGAUGACGGCCUUCGGGUUGUAAACCGCUUUCAGCAGGGGCGAAGCUUGUGGUGACGGUACCUGCAGAAGAAGCACCGGCUAACUACGUG
rnacentral:rRNA from 1 species